GGACUACUGGGGUAUCUAAUCCUGUUUGAUACCCACACCUUCGCAGUUUAGCGUCAAUAUCGGCUUAGAAGACUGCCUUCGCCUUCGGUAUUCCUCCUGAUCUCUGCGCAUUCCACCGCUACACCAGGAAUUCUGUCUUCCCCAACCGCAUUCUAGAUCCACAGUAUCUCAUGCCAUACACCGGGUGAGCCGAUGCCUUUAACAUAAAACUUAUAGAUCCGCCUACCUGCCCUUUACGCCUAGUAAUUCCGGACAACGCUCGCAACCCCCGUGUUACCGCGGCGGCUGGCACU
rnacentral:misc_RNA from 1 species